rnacentral:lncRNA from 1 species
AUAACUCUUAUAGGUUAUGUAUUCUGGGCGGGAGAGGAUAGAGAGAGAAGAAAAUAAAGAUAGAGAGGGUGAGCUAAUAGUGAAGAGCCUUCGGGCUGCUCGAUUGUGAAAUAAAAAUGGUGAGGGUAAAAUAAAUAUGUAGAGAGUGAGAGAAAAAAUACUAUGAUACACCAUGAUGAGCAAUUACUUAAGUACCCUUGAGCGUGGGGCUCGGGUAGUGGUGUGAAUUUUAUGUGUUUUGUCCAUCUCACAAUUGUUGUAAUCUCUAUGUUUCUCUCUCACAAUUGGACUGAAC